rnacentral:lncRNA from 1 species
GGAGGAUGGGGUUGGGGGUCGGGCAGACACCGGAGGGAGGGAGGGAGGGAGAGGUUCCCUGAGGGAAGACCCUGCUUCUCAGAGAAAGGAUGGAGCUAGAGACAGGGUUCUUCGACAAGGCCAAGGGAACGCAGGGCCCCAGAGACUGAUUUUCCUAGAGGUGCAUGGAUACAUGGAGGGGAGGGAAAAGGGUUCCAUAGAAUGAGGAAAAGAGAAGACUGGAAAAUGUUUUUUUCCUGGCCAAGGCUGCCCAGGGGAAGGAAGAGGGAGACCGUUCUUGCAUGCUGGGGAAAUGGGAUUGUGGGUACAUGGCUCGCCAAAAGUGGAGGACAAAGUGAAGGUGCCAGCUGCGUGUAUAUGACUAUCCCACCCUAGAUGGCCUCUCCUUCUUGAUGCUGUGUCCUCAGUACCCAGAGGUGACAACUCACGCAGGUCCCAUGUCCAAAGGAGCCCCCUUCAGUCAGGGUAGGGAAUGUGACAAGCUGGACACGCCCUCCCCCAGUUCUGCAGCCUCAACACCUAGCCAGGUACCGCACCGCAAAACAAUUGGGAGGCCACGAGUUACAACUUCUACCUGCAGGGUUUGGUAUCAGUGCUAGGGACAGGCUACAGGUGGCCAAGCGUCCCCGCUGCUAUUGCAGACAGGCAUCUGUUACGGCAUUUUUGUGUGUGGGAGAAAUGGUUCAUAUCUUUGGAAAAGCUAGAAGUUUGCAAAGCUGCUUUAGGUUUUGGGGAGACUACAAUUCCCAGGAAGCUCUGGAAAGUUCUUAACCAAAGAGAACUACAGUUCCCAGAAGGCCUUGUAAUGGUCUCGGGUGCCUCUUACCUAACCACUUGCCCGUUCAAAUACUGUGCGUGAGGCCCUACAGAUAUUUCCAAACGUUGACAGAGAUGGACUACCUAAGGGGCUGCUUCCCUAAAUACCCCACUGUGUCAGGGCUGCAUAUCCUGGUGUCUUCCUUACAACUGUUAGCUGGGGCUGUUACCGACUGAGUGCCUGGCCGCUUGUGUUUAGCUAAAAACCGAUCACCACUACAGUGUCACCAAAAAGACGUUCCUCGAGCCGCUGGCUUACCUGGAUCUCUAGCGCUGUGAUGGCGAAAACAAAAGACAUUUAACCCCAGGUUUUCAAAAGGGGACGCUGCUGGGUGAGGGGAUGACACAGCACAGCACGCCAGAGUAAAGGUGUCCCCAUCGGCCCCUGCUGGCUCGUCAGAGGCGAGGCCAAAACCGAGGCCGAGCCUUCUUAUUUAGUGGCCCAGAAACUAGAAGGAAAAGCAACCAGGAGGGAGAAGCCCAGAGUGACAGAUAAAUGCAGCACAGAGCCAAGGGGCUCGGACGCUAUGCUUGUCUCUUGGCCCCAGACGGGGACGGAGGAGCCCACCCCUGGACCCAGGCAGGCCUCCCCCCUCGGUUCCCCAAGGGCUGAGGCCGGGAAGGC